AUAUCAAAAUAUUUGUUGUUACUUCUAUCAUGUUUAUACAAGCCGUCGGUAUCGACGUCGAGAAGUGUCUGCCAAGACUACAAUGUUAGCGGCACGGGUCGACGGCCGAAAUCGGCGCGGGCGCGACCUUGCUGCACAGACUCACCUACAUACGGCGCCCACUUUUGCUUUCGACUCGCAAAAAAUUUAAGCGGAUCGUCCUGUCGGAUAUACGCAACAAUAAUAAUGCAUCUCGUUCUAAAAUUUAUAGAUUUUUAUCUACGCACCUUGAUUUAUUUUAGAUUAAUUUGGAGCUAUUGAUUGCUUUUGGUGUUAAAAGUUUUUCUUUAAUUUUAGUUAGUAAUUUCAAUGACGCACCAAAUUUUCCAUUAAGACCAUUAAAAGAUUGAACUCAAAGGGUAUACAGAAUUGUCUGUUCUACAAAAAUAUACUUUAGUUUCUAA